ACACAUGCAGUCGAGGGGUAGAGUUCUUCGGAACUUGAGACCGGCGCACGGGUGCGUAACGCGUAUGCAAUCUACCUUAUACAGGGGAAUAGCCCAGAGAAAUUUGGAUUAAUGCCCCAUAGUGUUAUCGAAUCGCAUGGUUUGAUAACUAAAGUUCCAACGGUAUAAGAUGAGCAUGCGUCCCAUUAGUUAGUUGGUAAGGUAACGGCUUACCAAGACAAUGAUGGGUAGGGGUCCUGAGAGGGAGAUCCCCCACACUGGUACUGAGACACGGACCAGACUCCUACGGGAGGCAGCAGUGAGGAAUAUUGGUCAAUGGGCGCAGGCCUGAACCAGCCAUGCCGCGUGCAGGAAGACGGUCCUAUGGAUUGUAAACUGCUUUUAUACAGGAAGAAACACCUCCACGUGUGGAGGCUUGACGGUACUGUAGGAAUAAGGAUCGGCUAACUCCGUGCCAGCAGCCGCGGUAAUACGGAGGAUCCAAGCGUUAUCCGGAAUCAUUGGGUUUAAAGGGUCCGUAGGCGGUCUUAUAAGUCAGUGGUGAAAGCCCAUCGCUCAACGAUGGAACUGCCAUUGAUACUGUAAGACUUGAAUACUUGUGAAGUAACUAGAAUAUGUAGUGUAGCGGUGAAAUGCUUAGAUAUUACAUGGAAUACCAAUUGCGAAAGCAGGUUACUAACAAGUUAUUGACGCUGAUGGACGAAAGCGUGGGGAGCGAACAGG
rnacentral:rRNA from 1 species